UUACCUAAAUUUAAGUCUUUAAUAGAAUCAGCUCUCUCUGUCAAGUGCUGCUUUCCUAAAUACUUUAUUAGACAGUCAAUACUUAAUAGGCAGGAAAAGGCUUUGGGAGGUUUUGGGAACCAGGCCUGCCCCAGACAUUCACAGGGUUCCAGGCAAGAUGUCAAGUGGAGGUUUGCAUGCUGUACCUCCAAAUAAUUAAAAUAUGUACAUCAAGCUAACAUACACAGCGAAUCUGUGCUAUUUCCAACAGGCACCUGGAAAGAUGUUCGACAUCACUAAUUGUUAGGAAAACGCAAAGCCGGCCCACAGUGAGAUGCCACCUCACACCUAUCAGGAUGGCACCACCAAGAACCAGGAGACAGGUGAUGCUGGGAGCAGGUGCAGACUGCAAGCUCUGCACACUGUGGGUAGGAAUAGAAAACGGUGCAGCUGCUGGAAAACAGUGCGGUGGUCCUCCAGGAAAAUCAGAAACAAUGCCAUGUAAUUCAGCAGUUCCUCCUCUGGGUAUAUGCCCGGAAGAGGUGAAGGCAGGGUCUGGAGCGAUGCUGGCACACCCGCGUUCAGAGCAGCGCCCUUCGCGGCAGCCGGACGGAGGAGGCGGCACGAGCACCGGCGGGUGGGUGAGGGCGUACGCAGGGUGCGCGCACAGCGGGGUGUCAUUCGGCCUCAGAAAGGAAGGAGAGCCUGUCACAGGCCACAGCGUGGAUAACGGUGGGGACAUUAUGCUAAGGAAGUAAGCCGGUCACAGAAAGACAACUACUGUAGGGUUCCACUUCUGUUAUGUGCCUGCAGGAAUCGGAUUCACAGAGACAGGAAGCAGAUGGUGUUUGCCGGGGGCUGGGGGACAGAGAAUUGAAAGGCAGAGACACAAUAGCAAAGCAGAAUGUUUUAUUUAAAAACACUCCAAGGGAGGAGAGGGCGGAGUCAAGGGAGCCGAGGGCCCCCAGCUUUUAGGGGACAGUCUCUUCACCGUGUCCCAGCUGGGGUGCCUCUUUGAUUGACAGGGUGAGGGCAUUUGACUGACAGCCCUAGUUACACACCCACUCCUCUUGGUGCAUGUCUUCUUCCAAAAUUCAUACAGAAAAGCCCGCAGAGGAGCAAAAUUGCGAUGUAAAUUUUAUUUUAAUGAGAUUAUGAAGAGCUGUGGUUGUGCAAUAGCUCUGUUGCAUUGUUCCUGCCAUGGGACCCGGCUGGACCCACAGGCCGGAAGUUAGCUCCCUGCAAAGCCUCGGUCCUCUUCACGUGGGCCCCGCACGCGGGCGUGGUUUGGGCCGUUCCUUUCUUCAGCCUUGUUUUCUCCUUCCCCAGCUGCUCGUGGCUAUGGGGGCACCUGGGGCGUGGUGAGGCGGCCCUCACAUGGAGACUCCUGCAGUCAGGACGGCCCGUGAUCCGGCCCGGCGGGCGGGGGUGUCUCAGCCUGUGGCGUCAGCUCCCUCCAGCAUGCGCGGGGCUCGCUCGUCCUCGGGCCAGUGCGGGGAGGUGGGCUUCCCUCCACGGGCCCUGCAGGGAGGGUCCUGUGCGGGCCUGGAGCCGCUUCUGUGGGUCACACAGAGAUUCUGGCCUGGAGGUGAGCUCUUCAGAUGGCACGCACUUUAUGUAAUUAUUUCCCUUCAUCCUCACUGCGAGGUACGGAUGGUCUCUGUUACCACAGAUGAAGACAUGGAGGCUCAGAGCAACGACCUGGCCGGUGUCACACAUCAGCCGAAAGGCCCGGACUUGAACCGACUGGUUUGACAGCUGGUGAUGUGCGGUGUGAUCCUCUUGUAAUGCUGAGCCGGGCAGCGAGUGCAGCUCCCGUCAGCCAGGUGGUCGCACAGAAAAAGAAGACAGCAUGAGAUCUGAUCUGUAAGUGACCUAAGAGCAACCAGCGUCAGAGCGCUGGCGCCCAGGUCCCUCUGAGCCACGGCCCUCGAU